GACGAACGCUGGCGGCGUGCUUAACACAUGCAAGUCGAACGGUGAAGCGCCUUCCUUUUUGGUGGGUGUGGAUGAGUGGCGAACGGGUGAGUAACACGUGAGUAACCUGCCCCCUUCUUCUGGAUAACCGCAUGAAAGUGUGGCUAAUACGGGAUAUUCUGGGUCUGUCGCAUGAUGGGUCUGGGAAAGAUAUUGUUUCGGUGGGGGAUGGGCUCGCGGCCUAUCAGCUUGUUGGUGGGGUGGUGGCCUACCAAGGCGGUGACGGGUAGCCGGCCUGAGAGGGUGGACGGUCACACUGGGACUGAGACACGGCCCAGACUCCUACGGGAGGCAGCAGUGGGGAAUAUUGCACAAUGGGCGCAAGCCUGAUGCAGCGACGCCGCGUGAGGGAUGGAGGCCUGCGGGUUGUGAACCUCUUUCGCCAGUGAAGCAGGCCUGCCUCGUUUGUGGGUGGGUUGACGGUAGCUGGAUAAGAAGCGCCGGCUAACUACGUG
rnacentral:rRNA from 1 species